UAACAAUAUUUAAGCCUAAAUUAAAUAUGUUUCCAGGACACAAUGUUUCAAAACGACUGUAAAAUUACUAGUACCGCUUGAAAUAUUUAUAACGUACAGUCAAAGGAAGGUUAUAUAAUAUUGGCUUGUAAUGGACGACAACAUGGCCUCAUCGGAUUCUAAAGCACCAAGGCUAUACCAGAGACGGCUAAUUGGCUCCGGAUCACCACUAAAUCGCCUUAUACGCAGCAUUACUGACCAAACCGUUGACAAACUUAAGUUCUUUAGGUCGCAAAUAGUGUACCAAGUAAAUGUAAACAAAAGAGAAGGACACUUUACUUCUACCGGAAUAAAAAAUUCAGGAAUCCAUGGUGAUAUCGACCUAACUAACUGGGUGGCGUGGGCAGGUGCCAUCGUAGUCACUGCCGUCGUGCUACGCUCCCUAUACAUUAUGUACAUGAAGCCAGAAGGAUACUAACCAAGUUUCCACCAACACACCAGCAUCACCAGCAACACCAGCAUCACCAGCAACACCAGGGACCGGGCUAUUUUCUAUUCAGUACAAAGAAUAUAUAUUUCCCUCGAAAAAGCCUACGAAACUUUACCGUUUGAAACGCUCAAUCUAUUAUAAAACCCAUCCAAAACGCGCGCGGGAACUGAAUGUCUACACCCAAAUCUAUUAUCUGAUGGUUGGAUCUGCUAUACUGUUCGUUUUUCUUUUGAUUAUCAGAGGCUUUUACAAAAGUGACGGUCGCCGUGUUGAUCAAAACGAAAUUGGGUAAUCUUCAUUCACAUUAGUCGAAACAACAUUCCCUCGAACAUACUAUGCAGUGAAAUUGAAAAAUAAAUGACAAUGGAAUAUGUAACGCGCUCCGUCACCGCUGCUGUUGUGCGCCAGAGACAUUUCUACGAGCUGCCGCCGCCGUACCAUUUGUUUUACUACGCUGUGGUAGCACUUGUUGGCCUCUUGCUCCUGCUAUCUACCCUCAACGCAAUAUUUAUGGGGGUGAAAAAAAUGUUCAUGUGUUUGGUAUACCGUCUAACUUAAUGAUGCAGUCUUACACAUAUAUGGAAGCAAAUUAAUAUGGUGCGGAUAUGAUUUCAACUGUAACCGAUUAAAAGGAGCGUAGCGUUCUUCCAGGCUGGACGGAUAGACUACGGAUAGAUUUCCUUAUCAGAAGAUGAAAAAUAUUGUACCAGAAACUGCAACGCUUCCGUCCUACGCGUUGCUAGUCACAAAAAAUAAAUCAAACGCCGGGUAAAACAAUGA